CUUGCAUUUUUUUUAGUAUGUCUUUUACAUAUUUACCCAACUGUAUUCUUUACGUUCCAGUUGUUUGCCAUUUAUAUGACAUGCCUUUUUUGUUGCAAUUGUUUUAUCAUAACUUUUCCAGAUCAGACAUGGGAAGCAGUGUCAUCAACUUCAAACCAGAAGACUAAAGCAUGGGACACCGCAACAUUCAAGUAUUGUCCAGUAGUCUGAUUUGAGAAGUGGAUGAACACGAACAAGUUUAUGAAGUACCUAACAAAGGUCCCAGAAGGACUUGAAAGCUCUCCACACUUUCUGGGUUCAUGCUUUAGUGCUCAACACUACUGGCAUGGGAAAAAACAUUUAAGUAUCUUCAUUUCUAACAGCAGAUAAAGCAUAUUUACUAGCAUUUCAUUUACAAGCGAUAAAUACAGGAGAACAGUUCUUCACUGCCUAACCCAAAAUAUCUGCCACACAUUUCAAAUUUUGCUACUUUUUGUUUGCACUCCUAAUCAAAGUUUGUGUGGGUGUUUCUUAACUUCAUUCUUCUGUAACUCAGCACAGUUUACUUUCAUUUCUUGGCUGACAUGACUUUUCCAGAGGCAGACUAUGAACUGAAGAAUUCAGCGUCUUGUUAUGUAAGGCCAUCGUGCUUCAGUGGACCAUUUCAUGCCAAUUCAGCCACAGAAUCUAAACCAGGGCGGCCAACCUGCGGCUCUGGAGCUGCAUGCGGCUCUUCAGAAGUUAAUAUGCAUUUCCUUGAAUCUUUGCACAUGCACAUGGUGACCAGCUUCCAAAUGACUCCAGAAUUAAUUGUACUCAUUGUACCAAAAGGCUAAUUAGGAAACUUCUUUUUUUUAAUGCUAUGCAAUUUCUAUAAAUACAGUUGAAAAAUUAAAAAUUUAUUUCAGGCAAGCGCUGCCUGCACUUUUAUAUAGCUCUGAGUACAAUAAGGUCUUGACUGUGGCUACCACUACCACAUGCUUAACAAAAAAAUGUUUUACUAUGCCAUGACAGUACUAACUUUACCUAUUACCUUCAUUUGGCCAGUUUAAGGGGAAGGCUCGCAGGAUUAGGCGGAUUCAUGCAAAAACGUCACUUGCACUUAUCUAACCAGCAAGAAAAUGAGUUGCAUACAACAUGCGGUUGUUAACCAUCUCAAAGCUCUUAGCCCAGUGCUGCUCAACAUUUUGAGACUCCUGGUGGCCCCCUGAUAAGGCUCCCGGCGCAUCUAAGAAAACGCCAGCCUUUUGUUUUUGCUUGUUUUUUCGAUUACAGGAAAAAAAAAAAUAAAAAAAAUAAAGAGUACAGCGAUGCCUCUGUUGCAAAGGUCCCACAAGGACCACAGCAGGCCAGAACUAAUGCUUUAAAGACUGCGGAUUCCUCCUGGAAACCUCCUGGUUUACCGUGUGACUUUCAUUCAUCCACCUAACCCUGCCAACACCAUGCAGCACCCUGGUGGCAAGACUGAAGAUUUAAAUUUAAUUAUAUACCACAGAUGCUUCAAUGCCAUGCCUAGUUGAAGACGAAUCAGCACUGAAGACAAGCACAAGGCUUUGCAAACAAAGAUCCUCUGAGCAGCUGAUUCUUAAAAUAGAAGCUUUGGACUGAAGAGAUGCACAGAAAGCAGCAACAGAAAGGAUCUGGUAGGCCUUUUUGCUCAUCCUUUCCAUAGGUUCCCAUCAUGCCUAACACAGGAUUGCUCUUAACUGAAUGUUCUUAAGUGCUUUGACCCAAUCUGAGGACUUUCCAUCGGUUAUAACAGCAGGAAUUCUGCUUUUCUCAAACUUGUGCAGGCCCUUUGCCCUAGAUUUGUAGCUGUACU